AGUAAUGAGACAUAUGAACGAAAAAGGUGUAGAGCCUAAUAUAUUCACUUACAAUGUGAUGAUGGAUGGAUAUUGUUUGCGUGGUCAAAUGGAUAGAGCGAGGAGAAUUUUGGAUUUCAUGAUAGAUAAGUGCAUUGAACCUGACAUUAUUAGCUAUAGCAUACUAAUAAAUGGAUAUUGUAAGAAAAAGAAGUUGGAUGAGGCCAUGCAAAUGUUUCGUAAAAUUUCUCAAAAGAGACCAAAACCUAAUAUGGUUACCUACAAUACUAUCUUGCAAGGUCUGUUUGAAGUUGGAAGAAUUGGCAAUGCAAAACAGGUAUUCGCGGAGAUGUUAUUUACGGGGACCAUACCUGAUUUAUGCACUCACACCACUUUGCUCAAUGGUUAUUUUAAGUAUGGACUUGUUGAAGAAUCUAUGUCUUAUUUUAAUAAGUUGGAAAUAAAGAGAGUAAGUACAGAUAUUGGAUUUUACAAUGCUGUCAUUAAUGGAUUGUGCAAAAAUGGUGAACUCGACAAAGCUCAUGCUAUUUUUGAGAAGCUUUCUAUAAUGGGGUUGCUUCCUAAUUCAAGAACAUACACUACAAUGAUAACUGGAUUUUGUUUGAAAGGAUUGUUAGAUGAAGCUAAAGCUAUGCUAAGAAAAAUGGGGGACAACGGUUAUUUGCCAAAUGAGGUCACUUACAGUGUUAUUGUGCAAGGGUAUCUCAGGUGUAGCAAAAUUUGUGAAAUGGCAACUUUUAUAAAGGAAAUGGCUGGAAAGGGCUUCUCAUUUGAUGCAACUACAAUUGAGUUACUGAUAAAUGUUAUAAGGAAGAACCCUUCUGUCCUUGACAUGAUGCCACAUUUUCACUCGAAAAAUAAGAAGUGAAUAUUUCUUUCCCUUGGUUUAUUCACUAUCAUGAUACAAUUUCCGUUUAUCUCUGCGAAAGAAAUUCUACAAAAUUAGGGCACACCGAAAUUACCCAACUUUCCCAUCCGCUGGAAAAUUUCCAGCAAUUCACUGAGCGAAAUUCUUCAGCCAUUGACGAUGAAUAGAAUUUCUCUGCGUUGCGCUCGCAAUGGUAUUCCGUUUAUCUCUUUCAUUUCAAUUCGAACUUAUUCUUCCUGCAAUAGUAAUACAUCCAUUUGGGGUAAAUAGCAAAUUUGAGAACGUCAAGUGUUUAGAUGACGCUGUGAAUCUCUUCCGUCAAUUGGUCAGAAAUCAGCCUCUUCCGUCUCCUGUCGACUUCUCUAAAUUAUUUAAGACUAUGCUAAAUAUGAAGCAUUACUCUGCUGUUGUUUCUCUUUUUAUAGAAAUGCAGAAAUCGUAUAUCCAGAUCGAUGGGUUCAUCUUGAGUAUCGUGAUUGAUAGUUAUUGCCUGAUGCAUCGUGUUGAUUGUGGAUUUUCGGUGUUACCCGUUUACUUGAAGUAUGGCAUUCCAUUUAAUGUUGUCACCUUUAACACCCAAAUAAGGGGAUUUUUUGCUGAAGAUAAGGUCAAAGAUGCAGUUGAAUUGUUCAAAAAGUUGGUGAGGGAGAAGAUUUGUGAACCUAAUGAAGUCAUGUAUGCAACCGUUAUGAAUGGGCUCAACAAACGUGGUCAUACUGAAAAAGCUGUUAGUUUGCUCCGGUUAAUGGAACAAGGGAGCGCUAAGCCCGACGUAUUUAACUACAGCAUUGUCAUAGAUUCACUUUGCAAAGAUAGAAAUUUAGAUGCGGCUAUCAGCCUUUUGAACGAGAUGAAAAAGAAAGGCAUAUGUGCAGACAUAUUCACAUUUAAUUCAUUUGAUUGAUGGUUUGUGUAAGUUUGGUCAGUGGGAAAAGGUUAGGACUUUGUUCUCUGAGAUGUUGGACCUUAAUAUUUAUCCAGACGUGCGCACCUUCACCAUGGUGAUUGAUGGACUGUGCAAAGAAGGGAAAGUUGAAGAUGCCGAGGAAGUAAUGAUACAUAUGAACGAAAAAGGUGUAGAGCCUAAUAUAUUCACUUACAAUGUGAUGAUGGAUGGAUAUUGUUUGCGUGGUCAAAUGGAUGGAGCGAGGAGAAUUUUGGAUUUCAUGAUAGAUAAGUGCAUUGAACCUGACAUUAUUAGCUAUAGCAUACUAAUAAAUGGAUAUUGUAAGAAAAAGAAGUUGGAUGAGGCCAUGCAAAUGUUUCGUAAAAUUUCUCAAAAGAGACCAAAACCUAAUAUGGUUACCUACAAUACUAUCUUGCAAGGUCUGUUUGAAGUUGGAAGAAUUGGCAAUGCAAAACAGGUAUUCGCGGAGAUGUUAUUUACGGGGACCAUACCUGAUUUAUGCACUCACACCACUUUGCUCAAUGGUUAUUUUAAGUAUG
rnacentral:lncRNA from 1 species